rnacentral:rRNA from 1 species
CGCGAAACCAGGCGAGCUACUACUAUACGAAUAUUAGUACAGAGUAUGUGGCAUAAUAAUUAAAGAUAGAGUAGUAGGGGUGAUAGGCUAUCAAGUUUGGUGAUAUCUCGUUACCCUUGAAAUGUAUUUAGUACGGUGUCAAUUCAUUAGUGAUAAGGCUUGUGAAAAAUAUGUAACUUGAUAAUUUUAAAGUACAUAGCUUAACCGCUAGUAACUAACUACAAAAAUAUUAAAAUCGCAAUAUAGUAAAUAAUAAAAGGUGCUAAUUAAUUACAGUGCUUAUUAAUACUGUGUGUAUUAGUAGUUAAGGUAUCAUUGAUGAACUCGGCAACAUUUCUUUCACCUGUUUAUCAAAAACAUCGCCAGUAGAAAAAGACUAUUGGUCAUUUCUGCUCAAUGUAUCAUAAAUAGCCGCAGUACCCUGACUGUGCAAAGGUAGCAUAAUCAUUUGGCUUAUAAUUGAAGUCUCGUAUGAAGGAAGUCAUGGGGGAAAACUCUAUUAAUGGUAGUAAGUGAAUUUAUUAAGGGGGUGCAAAACCCCCCCGGUAAAUAACAGACGAGAAGACCCUAGAAAUUUAUAAGAUAUGCUAAAAUCACUUUUUGUUGGGGCAACAUCGUAGCAUUCAAACCUACAGUAACAACACGCCAUGUUUUAGUAAGAUAAAAUUACUCUAGGGAUAACAGCGUAAUUCUCAAGAGUUUGCGACCUCGAUGUUGGACUAGGAAGCACACGCUUAGAA